AUUGAACGCUGGCGGCAGGCCUAACACAUGCAAGUCGAGCGAGCGGCGGACGGGUGAGUAAUGUCUGGGAAACUGCCUGAUGGAGGGGGAUAACUACUGGAAACGGUAGCUAAUACCGCCUACCCUCAGAUGUUCCCAGAUGGGAUUAGCUAGUAGGUGGGGUAACGGCUCACCUAGGCGACGAGCCCUAGCUGGUCUGAGAGGAUGACCAGCCACCCUGGAACUGAGAAACGGUCAAGACGCCUAGGGUAGGCAGAAGUGGGGAAGAUUGCACAAUGGGAGCAAGCCUGAUGAAGCCAUGCCGCGUGUGUGAAGAAGGCCUUCGGGUUGUAAAGCACUUUCAGCGGGGAGGCGUUACCCGCAGAAGAAGCACCGGCUAACUCCGUGCCAGCAGCCGCGGUAAUAC
rnacentral:rRNA from 1 species